AAGUCGUAACAAGGUUUCCGUAGGUGAACUUUUAUCCUUGCUCUCCUAGCCCGCCGGAAUUGCAAUCCCUGGUAAAUCAUUGUUGAACAGAUUUUGAUUCAGGGACCUCAGUUUGGUAGGCGAAGAUCGAGCGAUCGUUGCAAGUGGCCUGGUAAGUGUCAUUGAUUGUGUAAGGAUAACGCUUUUCGAUCACUAGAGGCCGAACACCGGCCGGUGACCAGGUCGCCGUGGCUUCGGCCCCCUAUAUUAUGAAGGAAAGUGCUGGGCAACAAAACGAACAACUGUUAACAAUGGAUAUCUUGGUUCUC
rnacentral:misc_RNA from 1 species